UACGUAGGGUGCAAGCGUUGUCCGGAAUUAUUGGGCGUAAAGAGCUCGUAGGCGGUCUGUCACGUCGGAUGUGAAAAUCCAGGGCUUAACCCUGGACCUGCAUUCGAUACGGGCAGACUAGAGGUAUGCAGGGGAGAACGGAAUUCCCGGUGUAGCGGUGAAAUGCGCAGAUAUCGGGAGGAACACCAGUAGCGAAGGCGGCUCGCUGGGCCAUUCCUGACGCUGAGACGCGAAAGCUAGGGGAGCGAACAGG
rnacentral:rRNA from 1 species